UGAUGAAGAAGAGCAUAUGCAUUGUUAUUGUCCCCGUGAGUGGUGGGCAAUCAUAAUAAGACUCUCCUGCAUUCCUCAGGAACCAAGGUGUUGGACAUGAUUAUGUAAAUGUCAUGGCAGAUAAGUUCAUAAGACUGGAAAAGAUACUGAAAUUUCAUAAUGAUGUUUGCAGAGUUGGAGGUGAAGAAACCUAGCUGCUUCUGUGACUUGGAAACAUCAGAGAGUAAGACAGUAACAUAAACUCUGAACACUGCCCCUGCAUUGGCCACCUCACAUAAGGGGCUAGAACAUAUCAUCCAAGAUAUGGAGUAUAAGAAGAGGAGAAAUGUCAGCCCCGUCCCUUGGAAAGAUGCAUAUAUGUCAUGCUGUUGGGAGAUGGAGAAACCAAACAGGAUCUUCAAGGACUAGAGCUCUGCCCUGUCCUCUGGAAGGAGACCUACAUAGUAUGCACGCUUCAGGAACCUCAGGGAAGAGGGUCCCAUUCUCUUCUCCCAUGCUUUGUGAACAGAAUCUAUUUCUUUGUUCUGUAAGAGUUUUUCUAUGGUCUCUCACAUGGUUCUCCUUUCUGUUAAGUGAACAGAUUUUCCUUUGUGGUUUGUUGAACUAGGGUACAUUUUUUUCAUUUGCAAGCUAUAGUCUGUCAAAUAGGCUAGUAACUGCUUACACAAGGCUUGACCUUUAAUGUGUAUGACUUGCUUAAUUACAAGCAUAUAAAAGACAGUGUAAUACACCAUAAAAACAGAAGCAGCCUCCUAUAUGAUAAGUUCUCCACCUCUCCCAAAUAAAGCUCUUCUCAGAUCUUCA